rnacentral:tRNA from 1 species
UGCCGGGUCGUCUAGCAGUAGGACAGCGGACUCUGACGUAGCGCAGCGGAGAUGGAUCGACCGCAGGUCGACCCCGCAGGGGCGAGCGUCGGCGAGUCAAUCCGCCAGCGCUGGUGCGAACCCAGCCCCGGCAGCCA